rnacentral:rRNA from 1 species
AUGAUCGUGGAUGAUUACAGCCGUUACAUGUGGAUAGAGCUUUUGAGGUCCAAGGACGAAGCCUUUGAGCGUUUCAAGAAGGUGCAGGUGCAGGCCGAGGCCACCGGCAACUGCAAACUACGGGCGUUCCGGUCGGACCGGGGCGGCGAGUUCAACUCCGGCGAGUUCAAGGCGUAUUGUGAGGAGCUGGGCGUCAAGCACUAUACCACUGCUCCGUACUCGCCGCAGCAAAAUGGAGUGGUGGAGAGACGCAAUCAAACGGUGGUCGAGAUGGAGAGAUGCAUGUUGAAGAGCAUGGAGAUGCCAGCGUUCUUCUGGGCUGAGGCAGUGAGGACGGCAGUGUACGUGCUCAAUCGCGCUCCGACCCAUAGCCUGGAGGGGGUCACGCCGUAUGAGGCGUGGCACGGACGCAAGCCUGUAGUGCAUCAUAUGCGCAUGUUCGGGUGCACAGUCCAGGUCAAGCGCGUCGGCCCCGGCAUCACCAAGCUCAGCGACCGCUCCACGCCCGUAGUUUUUGUUGGUUACGAAGAGGGCUUCGAGGCCUAUCGCGUCUACAACCCAGCAAGCAAGAAAGUGCAGGUAACAAGGGAUGUGGUGUUCGAAGAGUCAAGGCCGUGGGCGUGGCGCGUACCGGGCGCAGCGGAGGCAUACACGGUACCGACGACGUUCACUGUGGUUUACACCAUGGACCACGGUGUCCAUGAGGUCGACCGCGGCACACCUGGUCUCCCCAGCACGCCGCACUCUCCAACGACUACCUCUACACCUGCAUCGAGUGGAACGGCCUCGGGCAUGUCCACGCCUGGGGAGCACGCGCUCGCGUCACCAUCGUUGUCCGGGACGUCCACUCUUGGGGGAAGCACGCUCGGGACACCACAGUCCGAGCCAGCAACGCCUGAUGGGGGUCGUGAGAUUUGCUGGGCCACGCCGCUCACCCAUGACGAGAACCGUCGUGAUGUAGACACUGGCAACAUCCGCUACCGGCAUGUCUCGUGCAUCCUCGAUGAAACGGAAGGGGAUGCGGUAGGUGAAGCCAUGGAGCACUGCCUUCUAAGUGCGGAGGAACCAGGUGAUAUUGUUGAGGCCCUAGACAGCGCGGCCUGGAAACAUGCGAUGGAUGUAGAGAUGGACGCGAUCGCGGAGAGUGGCACCUGGCAUCUCACCCCUCUACCUCGCGGGCACAAGCCGAUCCAUCUCAAGUGGGUUUAUAAAGUGAAACGCGACCCCGAUGGCAACAUUGUCAAGCACAAGGCCAGAUUGGUGGCCAAAGGAUACGCACAACGGGAAGGCAUGGAUUUUGAGGAAGUUUUUGCACCCGUGGCUCGAAUGGAGACUGUGCGGAUCUUCCUUGCUCUCGCUGCGCACUCCGGGUGGGAGGUUCAUCAUAUGGACGUAAAGUCUGCCUUUCUGAAUGGCGAUCUGGUAGAAGAGGUGUACGUUGUGUAG